ACAAUGGCAGGUACAGAGGGAUGCUACCGGGCGACCGGAUGCGGAUCUCGAAAGCCUGUCCCAGUUCGGACUGGAGUCUGCAACCCGACUCCACGAAGUUGGAUUCGCUAGUAAUCGCGCAUCAGCCAUGGCGCGGUGAAUACGUUCCCGGGCCUUGUACACACCGCCCGUCAAGCCAUGGGAGCCGGGGGCGCCUGAAGUCCGGGACCGCGAGGGCCGGCCUAGGGCGAAACUGGUAACUGGGGCUAAGUCGUAACAAGGUAAC
rnacentral:rRNA from 1 species